AUCUGAUUGUGUUGGCUAUGGCAAAGAGGCACUUAGUUGUUCCCUAAAUAUUAUUGAAUAUGGGUAGGUGCCACCCAAAACUCUGAGGCGCCACCGAGACAAGCAGUUCAAAAUCCCAGGCUACAGCCAUUUGGGUGGGUUACCAGUCUUCACUGGCUCUUUCGAAUGUGACCUGGUGAAUCAACCUCUGCCACAACCUCCACCCCACAGCCUACCCAGCACCCACAGGCCUCCAGUGACCUUGCUCCGGAUGUUGGUUUUUUUUAAAGUACCAGUUCUACAACAACAAACAGAGGUAGGGGUCAUAUUGGUGUUGUUCCCCAAGCCAAGGAUAUACGAGGCGAGGAAAAGAAAGGUUGAGCCGGCUACAGUCCUGACAGCUUCACCCCACAAGAGGUUCCCGGAGAACAAGUGAAAAAACUACUAGAGAAAGAAGAAAGCAAAGGGAGAAAGAAACCUGUAACGCUGAAGGAAUCUGUGACACUAAAAAAGGUUCCUCCAGGUUCAAAAACCACAACAAACACUCUAAAAGAAGGGGAUGCAGAAUACUUGUUCUGUAAAGGGCUCCUCUCUGUUACCUGUGGCAGUGUCAGGUGGGAUUAAUUUGCGACCUCUGUGUCAAUAAAAUAUCUUUGAAAAUGCCAUUGUGUUAAGUUAUUGUUAUGAAAUGUUUAAUGUGCGUGUGUGUGUGUAUCUCUGUGUGUGUGUAAUCAAUUUUUAAUCAGAUAUAUACCAAUGAAUUUCUUCCAAAAAAAUCUAAUUAUUACAAACUUUUGAAAACCAUUUGCUCUUGAAUUUAAUUUUAAAGACUAUGAGUUUAGUUUAACUGUACAUAAUGGAGUGUAAGGAAAAGGUCAAAGAAGAAGGAGAAUUCAUGUGCAGGUGAGGUAAAAAAUAGGGACACUUCUGUGAAAUCCUAUGGCAUAAUCUUCUAUUGGGCUAAGUAUCUUACCCCGAUUACACACACAGUUUAGCUUGGUAAAAUGCCCGUCCUAAAAAAAUGUAUUGUAUUAAAAAACAAAAAAUCUGUCAACUGUAGCCAUUUAUUUUCCUUUGUUGCGUUACCCUAAGCACAGCUAUCAUCCACCUGCAUUUUUUUCUCUCCAAAUGUUGCUUUUUUUGUGUCAGAAAUUAGACAUUGAUCUUAAGAGGGUGAGCUCAGCUGUGAAUGGUCCUGGCGCACCAAAAGGUGUAGCCAGUUUGGAUUUGGCUUCAGACCAAUCACAUGACAUCACAUCAGAAGCCAAAUGUCACUGACAGAAAAAAAAACUUGAAUUGUUGCAUCUUGUUGUGUUGUUGUUCUCCGGUGGCUAACUAGCUAGCUAAAAUCUUCCCUUUCCUAAAUUAGCCAUGGAUGGAGAUAGGGAUUUGGACUUGUAAUUUUACUUCAUUCUCGUUACUGGCCAAUGAUUAUAAUGACGAUUCUAAUCCAACUAUAAAUUAAUACACUGUGUCCAUGGCCUGAGAGGAUGGACGUUCAAUAUGUAGCCAGAUGUAGCAUGCUAAUGUUAACUAGCUCACCUGGUGCAUCAUUGCCCAUUAAAGGAAGUUAGCCUAGCAAGCAAGCAUUUUAGCAAGUUGCCUAGGACAACAAAAACUACAAUUGUGUACUGAUGACAGAGUUAUAGACGGAUUAGGCAACAUGAAAGAGGAAGUUGGCAUUGGUGUUUCUUUACAAGUAGGGUGAGUCAACAUGUUUUUCCUAUACACAAAUACACAAAUCAGUACCAUGGACAGACACAUCAUAUUUAGCUUACGUUGAUUGGACUAAAUCGUUUUUGGUAUCUUUUAUUUGUCGCUGUAUUAGACUAAACAUAGGUGAUUAGAUGAUGUUGAAAUGUUGCUGGAAUAGUGGAGGCAGCUCCUGUUUUCUUUGCGACUUGCUGUAACUCUCCAUGGUUCUAAAUCAAUAGUUGUUUAGUAGUCUGAAAAUGUCAGAAACAUUACCAUGCUGUAGGUCAUUUUUAACCUUUAUUUAACUAGGCAAGUCAGUUAAGAACAAAUUCUUAUUUACAAUGACGGCCUACAACAGCCAAACCUGGGCCAAUUGUGCGCCGCCCUAUAGGACUCUCAAUCACAGGUGGUUGUGAUAAAGCCUGGAUUUGAACCAGGGUGUCUGUAGUGAUGCCUCAAGCACUGAGAUGCAGGGAUAUGACCGCUGUGCCACUCGG
rnacentral:lncRNA from 13 species